rfam:Ophiophagus hannah scaffold53.1, whole genome shotgun sequence.
GCCAGUUUAGUCUAGUGGGUAAGGCACCAGGCUAGAAACCAGGAGAUUGUGAGUUCUAGUCCCACUUUAGGCA